rnacentral:rRNA from 1 species
AGAGUUUGAUCCUGGCUCAGGAUGAACGCUGGCGGCGUGCCUAACACAUGCAAGUCGAGCGAAGCAAUAGGGAGGAAAUUUUCGGAUGGAAUCCGUAUUGA